GAAGGGGGUCGCCGGCCCUCCGCUGCGCGUCGGGCCGAACAACGCCCCUUAACAGUGGUAUAAUGAGCACAUACCACAGCCUGUCCUGAUCUAUUGCUUAACUAUACUUAUCAUAGGUAGACAGCUAACUAACAUGUUCAUAAAAUCAUCAUAAAACAUUGUUUUUUUCAUGCUGUAGGUAAACUUUGAUAACUUUGACGGAAUCCUGUCAUUUGUCCACGUGAACAAAAAUCACUGGAACAUGCUGUACAUUCAUGCAAAGUCUGGUACUGUGUACCAAAUGGAUCCCUCACCAGCAUCCUCUGAGCUUGAGGACUCUACCCAUGCGGCUCAGAGACUACAGGAAUACUUGAAGAUUAGAAAAUAUCAGGGGAAAACUGACUGGGUGGAUGUGAAGUGGAAAGGAGGAGUGAUGCCCCACCCAGUGCAAAGGGAUGGUUGCAGCUGUGGUGUCAUUGUUGUUGAAAUGGCCAGAGCAGUGAUGGAAGCCUUCCCUGAGUUCCCCAAAAUGAACUUCUCAACAAAAAGGAGAGCCAUGGAAGAGGCGAG